rnacentral:lncRNA from 11 species
AAAAGGAGGACUCGGCAAGGGAGACGCGCUGACAGCCCGCCCGCUUGGAGCAAAGCCAGAGAAGUGUCUGCGGGUGUCUAUGAGCCACACAUGCAUACAAAUGCCCCCCUCCAACGGGACCAUUCACCCCCUUCCUUCCUUCCUUCCCUCCCUCCCCUUUGGAGACGCGCUUUCCUCCUCCUUCUCCUCCCAGUUUUUGCGCACGAGAAAGAGAGCCACCCGCGCCCUCUUCAGCCGGGCCAGCAGCCAAAAAGGGAAGCAGCCGGGCCCCUCGGCCUGGCAGAGAGAGAAAGAGGCGCUGGGCCGGGCAGGAGACAAGGAUUCGCCCCCUUUUCCCCCUGCCCUUUGCUCACCCCGUUGCUGCGGAUCGCAGGGAGCCAGCCAAGCUCUUGCGCGCAGUCUCUUUCUCUCGUGCGCUCCAACACCGAGGCCGUCCCUUUCCACUGCUUGCGGAAAUAUCCACCGCCUCUUUCCUUCUCCCUUCGUGGCUGGAAACGGCCUUACCGGACGGCCCCCUUUCCUGCGUACCGCAGCACUGCUUUGUUGACGCGGCUUUGCUCCCUUUUCAGCUGCGGCAGGAGGAAUCGCCCAGGACGCUGGGAUGGAUCCCCCAGAAUGGAUUUCGGGAUCCUCCGCCUUGGAACAGCCAGAAAGAACCAGUGGGUUUUAUUACUGCGUCUUUAUCAUCGCUUCUGAGCAUAGGAAGUGUCUUUUUCCCCCUCUUUCCACGCAGAGGAAAAACUUGGGAGGCGGGGCUCGAGGGGGUGGACUGCAGUCCCUUGCAGAAGAAGCCCCUCCAUGAGAAUAAAUGAGUAAAAUAAAAAUACCUGUGGGUUGUUGAGAGAAGUCCAAAACACCCAACCUUUUUUUGACCAGGAACCAUAGAAUCAGAGAGUUGGAAGAGACCUCGUGGCCCAUCCAGUCCAACCCCCUGCCAAGAAGCAGAAAGUUAAAUUCAAAGCAUCCCUGACAGAUGGCCGUCCAGCCUCUGCUUCAAAGCCUCCAAAGAAGGAGCUUUCAGCACACUCCAGGGCAGAGAGUUCCACUGCUGAACAGCACUCACAGUGGGGAAAUUCUUCCUAAUGUUCAGGUGGAAUCUCCUUUCCUGUAGUUUAAAGCCAUUGUUCUGCAUCCUAGUCUCUAGGGCAGCAGAAAACAAGCUUGCUCCCUCCUCCCUAAGACUUUCCCUCACAUAUUUAUACAUGGAUAUCAUGUCUCCUCUCGGCCUUCUCUUUUGCAGGCUAAACAUGCUCAGCUCUUUAAGCCGCUCCUCAUAGGGCGUGUUCUCCAGACCCUUGAUCAUUUUAGUUGCCCUCCCCUGAAUACCGUCCAGCUUGUCAACAUCUCCUUUCAACUGCGGUGCCCAGAAUUGGACACAGUGUGAUUCCAGGUGUGGUCUGACCAAGGCGGAAUAGAGGGGGAACAUGACUUCCCUGGAUCUAGACACUAGACUCCUAUUAAUGCAGGCCAAAAUCCCAUUGGCUUUUUAAACCGCCACAUGACAUUGUUGGCUCAACAUUAGUACCAAAAGUACGAAUUUUGGUUAGUACGAAUCAGUUUUUGGUCAACUUUAGAUUCAGUUGGUUAUUAGGGGUGCUGGUUUAGAAAAGUGCAUUGGAUAAACCACAUCAGCUCUAGUUUCUGAUACAGAACACAUCCCAUCCAAUAGUUGCCAUCUGCUCAUCCACAGAAAACCAUAUUUAAUAAUCUAGAGCUGGUGUGGCCUAUCCAAUGCAAUUUUCUGAAUCGGCACUCCCCAAAUGACCCUAGGAACAGGCCUAAAAACAAAAAUAACCAAAGCACACCCGUUUCCAGGCUCCACAUGGAAUGGCUCCGCUCACCAGGAGGGAGGAGGAAGAGAAACAGCAGUCAGGAGGCUUUUUACACCUUUCAUGGGUAGUCAGCCUCUCUACUCCUGACAUUCCAGUUGUCUCGGCACUAUAAGAGGAUUUCACAAGACCAGUUGCUCUCUUUGCAACAGUGUAGUAACAGUGAGGCUGCGGACUAUAUUUUAGUUCUUGGGGACCACAGGUUGGGAACCACUGCUGUAGAACGAAUCCACUUUAACUGUAUUGGUUCAGUGCUAUGGAGUAAUGGGGCUGUAGUUUUGCAAGGUUUUGAGCCGCCUCUGCCAAACAGUGUGGGUGCCUUGCUAAACUACAAAUCCCAAGAUUACAUAGUAUUGAGCUAUGACAAUUAAAUUACAGAUGGCAUCCCUCAAAUAGGAGCUUCAGGUGCUCCUAAAGCAGCUUCCCCUUUUGCUUUGGCUCAGCAAAGAUUACAUUAUAUGAAUCUAAUGCGGACCCUAAUAUUGGCAAGGUGAUUUAGCCAAAAAAAGUGAGUGUUCAAGUAAAUGCAGUAAUAACAACAGGAUCGUCAGCCUUUGGUAUCCGAUGAGGUUUGGUUCCAGUAUCCCAAAAUUUGUGGUUGAGCAAUCCCUAUUACAUACAAUUACAGUAGAGUCUCACUUAUCCAAAACUCGUUUAUCCAAGGUUCUAGAUUAUCCAAGGCAUUUUUGUAGUCAAUAUUUUCAAUAUACUGUAUCAUGAUAUUUUGGGUCUAAAUUCGUAAAUACAGUAAUUACAACAUAACAUUACUGCGUAUUGAACUACUUUUUCUGUCAAAUUGGUUGUAUAACAUGAUGUUGGUGCUUAAUUUGUAAAAUCAUAAACUAAUUUGAUGUUUAAUAGGCUUUUCCUUAAUCCCUCCUUAUUAUCCAAGAUGUUCGCUUAUCUGGCCCGUUUAUUUUGGAUAAGUGAGACUCUACAUUACAUUUAAGCUUCUUGAAUAUUUCCACUGUUGUUCUUCUUACUGUUAUCUUUAUUUAUUUCUACCCUAAUUGUUCCUGAGAACUGGGACUAAAGGCAACUUUCAAAUUAAUACAGAUGUAGCACUGUUUAAAAAUAAAAAUAAAAUCCCCAGUGUUACAAUAACACUUUAAAAAUGUAAGCAAACAGUCAAAGUGUUGAAGAGCGGCUUGUAAAACUAUAAAUAAAAUAGUGCAAUACACUCAUAAAC